rnacentral:rRNA from 1 species
UCAAGCUAUAAAGAGCGUAGGGAGAAUGACUUGGCAUCAGGAGCCGAAGAAGGACGUGACAAGCUGCGAAAAGCUGCGGUUAGGAGCAAAUAUCCAUAGACCCGCAGAUAUCCGAAUGGGGAAACCCGGUACGGCAAUACCGUAUCACUGCAUGGUAAAUACAUAGCCAUGUGGAGGAAACCCUCUGAACUGAAACAUCUAAGUAGGAGGAGGAAGAGAAAGAAACAUCGAUUUCCUAAGUAGCGGCGAGCGAAAGGGAAAGAGGCCAAACCAGAGAUAGCAAUAUCUUUGGGGUUGUGGACUGCAUAAUUGAUUCAAUAUUUUUAGCAGAAGUGUAUGGGAAGACACACCAUAGUAGGUAAUAGUCCUGUAAGCGAAAAGGAUAUUGACAAGGCAGGAUCCAGAGUACCACCGGACACGAGGAACCCGGUGGGAAGCCGGGGGGACCACCCCCCAAGCCUAAAUACUACCUGAUGACCGAUAGUGAAAAGUACAGUGAUGGAAAGUUGAAAAGAACCCCGGAAGGGGAGUGAAAAAGAAUCUGAAACCCUAUGUUUACAAGCUGCUAAAGCACCAUAUGAGUGCGAUAGCGUACUUUUUGUAGAACGGUCCGGCGAGUGUAUGUUGCAAGCGAGGUUAAGGUGUUAAGCACUGAAGCCGAAGGGAGACCGAGUGUGAAUAGCGCGUACAGUUUGCAGUAUACGACCCGAAACCGGGUGACCUAACCAUGGACAGGUUGAAGUGGAAGUAAAAUUCCAUGGAGGACCGAACCCACGUCUGUUGAAAAAGGCGGGGAUGAGCUGUGGUUAGCGGUGAAAUUCCAAUCGAACUCGGAUAUAGCUGGUUCUCAUCGAAAUAGCUUUAGGGCUAGCCUCAGGAUAGUUUAGCGGAGGUAAAGCACUGAAUGGGCUAGGGGGCUUCACGGCUUACCGAACCCUAUCAAACUCUGAAUGCCGCAUAAAUGUUUCCUGGGAGUCAGACUGCGUGAGAUAAGUUUCGUAGUCAAAAGGGAAAGAGCCCAGACCUACAGCUAAGGUCCCUAAAUGAAUUUAAGUGGAAAAGGAUGUGCAGUUGCGUAGACAACUAGGACGUUGGCUUAGAAGCAGCCACUCAUUUAAAGAGUGCGUAAUAGCUCACUAGUCGAGUGAUUGUGCGCCGAAAAUGUAACGGGGCUAAAAUUCAUACCGAAGCUUAGGAAUGAUAGUAAUAUUGUUGGUAGAUGAGCGUUGUGUAAGUCUGCGAAGCUACACCGAAAGGAGUAGUGGAGAUAUCACAAGUGAGAAUGCCGGAAUGAGUAGCGAGAAUUAUGUGAGAAUCAUAAUGGUCGAAAAUCUAAGGUUUCUUGAGGAAGGUUCGUCCGCUCAAGGUAAGCCGGGAGCUAAGGCGAGGCCGAGAGGCGUAGUCGAUGCACAUACGGUAAAGAUUCCGUAGCCACCGAAGUCGUUAAAUACAGGGACACAGGAACAUAGCCUAACCCCACCGUUGGUUGAGUGGGGCGUAAGGGAGCGAAAAAUAGUAGCGAAGUAGGUGAUUGUACACUGGCGAGAAAAGCUGUAUGUAUUGAUAAGGUGCCCGUACCGCAAACCGACACAGGUAGAUGAGGAGAGAAUCCUAAGACCAGCGGGAGAAGUGUUGUUAAGGAACUCGGCAAAAUGACCCCGUAACUUCGGGAUAAGGGGAGCCUACGCGAGUAGGCCGCAGAGAAUAGUCUCAAGCGACUGUUUAGCAAAAACACAGGUCUAUGCUAAAUCGAAAGAUGAUGUAUAUGGGCUGACGCCUGCCCGGUGCUGGAAGGUUAAGGGGAAGUGUUAGAGCAAUCGAAGCACUGAACUUAAGCCCCAGUAAACGGCGGCCGUAACUAUAACGGUCCUAAGGUAGCGAAAUUCCUUGUCAGGUAAGUUCUGACCCGCACGAAUGGCGUAACGACUUGAGAGCUGUCUCAACAACAUACCCGGCGAAAUUGAAGUACUGGUAAAGAUGCCAGUUACCCGUGAUAAGACGGAAAGACCCCAUGGAGCUUUACUGUAACUUGAUAUUGAAUUUUUGUAUUACAUGUACAGGAUAGGUGGGAGACAGAGAACUAAUGCCGCCAGGUGUUAGGGAGUCGAUGUUGGGAUACCACUCUUGUAAUAUGAAGGUUCUAACCUGCACCCGUGAAUCCGGGUGGGGGACACUGUCAGGUGGACAGUUUGACUGGGGCGGUCGCCUCCUAAAAGGUAACGGAGGCGUUCAAAGGUUGGUUCAGCACGGACGGAAAUCGUGC